ensembl:lncRNA
CCUCAGACAGACCCAUGCUGAAGGCCCGAAGGAGGAGGAGGUGGGGGUAGCCUCAACUGCGCCCCCAGGAUUAUGGUGUCACAGGCAAGUGCCUAAAUGGCCUCGCGGUUGAACCGCCCCUGCCUCUAGAGCAGAGAAUGCUAAAGAUCUUGCAAAACUACAAAUCCCAUAUUCCAUAGCAUUGAGGCGUGGAUGUUUAAGUGGGGUCAGACGGCACUAAUUCUAGAGUGUAGAUGCCUCCUACGGUGCUACAAGACCCUUUGCAAACUGAUAUUCCAGACUGUCUUUGAAAAUUUCUUUCCAGUAAAUUGUUCCCGUUUGCUUUUCUAUGCAUUGUUUUGUGAAGCAUAUUAUUCUGCGGAGAGUAUUUUGGCAGAGAUGCCUUCUUCUGGAGAGCUCUUGCAACGGAAUAAGCGGCUUUGCAGGCAAAGGCUCUUGGUUUGUAUGGGAAAGUUGUGAAGUGGGCACAUGUGUGCCGUAAGUGGCGGGCUGAGCAGGGGGGAAAACACACACAGUGUUCAAGGAAACGCAGAGUUGAUUACAUUAGGAGCAUUUCGGCAGGAGGCUCUCUGUCCUCCUGGGAGGACGAGGGAAGCAAAGCCUCUUCUCUGCUCUUGGAUGUUCUCCGGGGCAAAGCAAUGCGUGGGGAAAGCAUCAGGCAUCCUCAGUAACACAUUUUGUGGGCACUUGAGGAAUUGUGGGAGUUGAAGUCCAAAACAACCGGAGGGCAGAAGUUUGCCUAUGCCUGCUGUAAAGUAAACAAAUGCAACUUGGCAGCACUUUUAACUGUCAUGACUCAAUGCUACAAAAUCCUGGGAGUUUCAGAAAGUCUUCGGGCUGGUGACUCCCUCCCUGAAGCCCAGGUACCUGAACAACACAGAAGUUCUGUAGAAGACUCAUCUUGGAGAGGACCACAGGCAGGUUGGUCUUGGGGAAAAGCCUCCUCAAUGUUCAGGAAAAGACCUUACCGCCUCUUUGACCAGGCAUUUCUGCAAUCCCAGGACAAAUCAAUGGCUUCCCAAAUACACCAGAACUACCAGGCAGAGUAUGAACCUGCUGUGAGCAGACUCAUUAACUUGGAACACGAUGCUAGCUCUGCGUACUUGUCUAUGUCCUAUCACUUUGACAUCGGAGCAAAUGCGAUUCUCCUCCUCGGCGCCCGAGUUAAUGAGCAUCCUUUUGUGCCACAGGUUCUCCAAAAUGAAAAAUCACAAGGAUUGUUUUGGCGGGUAAUUUAUGCCCCCGAACAAAACACCAAAUAACUCCAACUGGGAUUAGAAACUCCCCAGCGAAGGAGGUGAUGAAUAAGUAAUGUCUGGAAGGGGAGCCGGGAAAGAGAGGGAAGCGUAGAACGGCUCUAGGCCUCUGCGAACACUGCUUUCUGGUCCCAGAGGCGAUACCAGUACUGCUCUUGAUGCCAGAAUUACUUUCAAUUAGAUGAGAAACAAAAACCUGUGCCUUUCCAAACAAGAGAUGAGCUGCAACCUGUGACUGGCCAAGGUAGAAUUGCCAUGUGAAAACUGAACAAGGCUCCUACCCUUUGUGGGACAUGCAUGGAGGAGGGCCUGUCAACAAAGGAUAGUUGGUAAUGCAAGCUCCAGCCCUUGAAAUCCUGUCAUUGGCACAAAGUACAUGAACACCAUCCUGUUAAUGGAGCAGCUCUUGAAUAUUUUAUUUAAAAACCCUAAAAAUCCCUUACCUAGAUGACUCUUACUCAAAAAUCUUGUUUUUCCAUGAAAGUGUUGAUAGGACAUGUUCUGCCUGACAUUUGCUCUUUGCUCACAAUAUAAGGUCAUGCAAACUGCAGUAAUGAUUUGGCUGCUGGAUGAUGCAUAUGUAGGAUGAAGUAUGAACAUGUCACCUGAGGAUAGUGCAUACGUGGAGCAAACUAUGGACACUUCACCUGAUGUGAUGAGUAAUGAGUUAUAUAAGUUACAAGGCAACUACGCAUGUCCAAAAGGAUAAUAAUAGUCAGCAAAUUCCAUUGUCAGUUAGCUUUCUGCGCAUGCUUCCGUAAAAUUGUAUAUAUUGGGAAACCACUAUAGGCAAGGGGUGGCAUUGCAUUUUCUGGGCAUUAGCUAACAUUGUCACCUACUCUUGGCCAAAAGUAAACUAUCUGGAAGACAACUUCUGCUGUCAGUGUGCUUUCUUCACCUGCAUCCA